CAUGGCUCAGUUGGUUAGAGCAUGGUGUUGAUAGUGACAAGGUUGCAGGUUCGAUCCCCCUAUGGGAUAGA